UGAAUACGAGACGCUAAGGCGUCGAAGUAGUGUAUAUCAGACUUCCAAGAAAAGCUUGCACUGUCAUAGAUAAAAAAUGCCUGUACCAUAACCGACACAGGUGGGUAGGUAGAGUAUACUAAGGGGCGCGAGAUAACUCUCUCUAAGGAACUCGGCAAAAUAACUCCGUAACUUCGGGAGAAGGAGUGCCUUAUUUAUAAGGUUGCAAUAACAAGAUCCAAGCAACUGUUUAUCAAAAACACAGGUCUCCGCUAAGUCGUAAGACGAUGUAUGGGGGCUGACGCCUGCCCAGUGCCAGAAGGUUAAAGAAGUUGGUUAGCAAUUGCGAAGCUGAUAACUGAAGCCCUGGUGAACGGCGGCCGUAACUAUAACGGUCCUAAGGUAGCGAAAUUCCUUGUCGGGUAAGUUCCGACCCGCACGAAAGGCGUAAUGAUUUGGAUACUGUCUCGGAGAGGGGCUCGGUGAAAUAGACUUGUCUGUGAAGAUGCGGACUACCUGCACCAGGACAGAAAGACCCUAUGAAGCUUUACUGUAACUUGAAAUUGAAAUUGGACUUUAUUCGCGCAGCAUAGGUGGGAGGCGUUGAUUAUAAUCUUGCGGGAUUAUUGGAGCCAUCAGUGAGAUACCACUCUUGUAAUGUUAGAUUUCUAACUUUGAAUCAUUAUCUGGUCAAAGAACAGUUUCAGGCGGGCAGUUUGACUGGGGCGGUCGCCUCCUAAAUGGUAACGGAGGCGUACAAAGGUUUCCUCUGAACGGUUAGAAAUCGUAUCUAGAGUGUAAAGGCAUAAGGAAGCUUGACUGUGAGACCUACAAGUCGAGCAGGGACGAAAGUCGGUCUUAGUGAUCUGACGGUACUGAGUGGAAAGGCCGUCACUCAACGGAUAAAAGUUACUCUAGGAUAACAGGCUGAUCUCCCCCAAGAGUUCACAUCGACGGGGAGGUUUGGCACCUCGAUGUCGGCUCAUCGCAUCCUGGGGCGGUAGUACGUCCCAAGGGUUGGGCUGUUCGCCCAUGAAAGCGGUACGCGAGCUGGGUUCAGAACGUCGUGAGACAGUUCGGUCCAUAUCCGGUGUAGGCGUUAGAAUAUUGAGAGGAGCCUUCUUUAGUACGAGAGGACCGAGAAGGACAUACCUCUGGUGUACCAGUUAUCGUGCCAACGGUAAACGCUGGGUAGCUAUGUAUGGAGUGGAUAACCGCUGAAAGCAUCUAAGUGGGAAGCCCACCUCAAGAUAAGUAUUCUC
rnacentral:rRNA from 1 species